rnacentral:rRNA from 1 species
GACCCCAGGUCAGGCGGGACUACCCGCUGAGUUU